rnacentral:rRNA from 1 species
UACAGGGGGUGCAAACGUUGCUCGGAAUUAUUGGGCGUGAAGCGCGCGUAGGCGGCCACUUAAGUCGGAUGUGAAAGCCCUUGGCUUAACCGAGGAAGUGCAUCCGAAACUGAAUGGCUAGAGUGCGAGAGAGGGUCGCGGAAUUCCCGGUGUAGAGGUGAAAUUCGUAGAUAUCGGGAGGAACACCGGUGGCGAAGGCGGCGACCUGGUUCGAUACUGACGCUGAGGCGCGAAAGCGUGGGGAGCAAACAGG